rnacentral:rRNA from 1 species
UGCCUAGGAAAUUGCCCUGAUGUGGGGGAUAACCAUUGGAAACGAUGGCUAAUACCGCAUGAUGCCUUCGGGCCAAAGAGGGGGACCUUCGGGCCUCUCGCGUCAGGAUAUGCCUAGGUGGGAUUAGCUAGUUGGUGAGGUAAGGGCUCACCAAGGCGACGAUCCCUAGCUGGUCUGAGAGGAUGAUCAGCCACACUGGAACUGAGACACGGUCCAGACUCCUACGGGAGGCAGCAGUGGGGAAUAUUGCACAAUGGGCGCAAGCCUGAUGCAGCCAUGCCGCGUGUGUGAAGAAGGCCU